GACGUGAAGUACUUGGCCACUAGCGGCUUCCUCUUUCUGCGGUUCUUUGCGCCCGCCAUCCUCACACCGAAGCUGUUUGACCUCAGAGACCACCACGCAGACCCCCAGACCAGCCGCUCCCUGCUGCUGCUUGCCAAGGCUGUGCAGAGCAUUGGAAACCUGGGCCAGCAGCUGGGCCAGGGCAAAGAGCAGUGGCUAGCCCCCCUCCAUCCCUUCCUGCUGCAGAGCAUCUCACGUGUGAGGGACUUCCUGGACCAGCUGGUGGAUGUGGAUGGGGAUGAGGGUGAGUCCUGUGGUUCCACCAUUCCUGGCUUGUAAUCUCCCUCACCCGACCCUGUCCCCUGGAGCACUCAGCAUCCCACUCCCUUAGUCCCUAGUACUAAGACUCUGGACCUGCAGGUCAACUAGUCAGUCAACUAACAUUUUGUGUCGGGCUUGGUUAGGUCAUCUCUGCCAAUGUGGCAGUGUGGUAGGGCCAUGGCAUGGAAUCUCUGGUGCGGGCAUGCUUAUUAAGUCCCUGCCGUAUAACAGGCACCACACCAAAGGCCUGGGACUAGGACUUAGUGGAGGAGAG
rnacentral:lncRNA from 1 species